GCAAGCCAUUCUCUCAUCCACAAGGACCAGCGCCCCCAAUUACACCAGCUGGCCUCCAACUUCUGUGUGAGCCGAUUAAAAAGCACCCUCUCUCUGGUGUCUGGAAACUCCUGCGAGGAAAGUUUGCUGCCCAAAGUUGGCUUUUGACUAGAGUCUUAACAAGAGGCUUGGGCAGGCUGUGGGGAGAGACAAUGUCACUUUAGGGAAGCAGCUGGAAGCGGCAGUUAGAAGAAUUAUUUUAAUGAAUACAUUUCCUUUCAAUUGUAUGGGAAUAUCAAGAUCCCAUUAGAAUGGGGAAGCAAUUAGAACUAAUAAAGAUGAAUGCGCGGCGCUCGGUGCAUGCGGAAUAACAAGCAGCCAACAAAGGGACUCCCGGAGCAGGCUCUAAUCCAAGGGAGCCCACAGCCAGCAGAGGGGAGAGGCCCCCGGCUCAACGCUCAAAGCCACCGUGCCCUGCACAUUCUGAUCACGGCCUGGUCCACAAAUGGCGUUGGACGGUUGGUUUUGGUUGUGGAGACAGGAUCUCUCCAUACGCUGCUGAGUGCAGAUCUUCCAGUGCAGUAAGGCCACCCAUUGCUAUGUGUGUGAGCCUAAUAAACCCAUGGCUUCCCAGCACUUACUUUAGUGGACCUGUACCUUGGUUCACCAUUGAGACCUUAGGAGGAAGACUGGACUUUAUGUCUCCCCUGCAGGUAAGGAAUUUCAGCAACACUGGUACACUCAGGAACUGACAGCCCCUGUGGUUACUGGCACAAGACCAAGCCAAGCACAAUUCCAGCAUGGAUGGGCGGGGGUACUCAAGAGGCCCUGCGGUGCUAUUGAUAAUUGUCAGCUAGUUGCUGUGGGGGGUAUCACUCUUCUUUUGGGGUACGGGCAGGAUGGGUUGCCCAUGUUCUAGGGACUAACCCCAUGUCCAUGUGCACAUGGCAGCACCAGUUGGACUUGGUGGUUAUUUAGACGUGGGGGAGGGAAAGAGUAAGAAAUUAAACAGGAAGGGAUCCAGGAGAUGGACAGAGUAAAUGGGACGUGGGUAUGACCAUAUUCCAUUGUAUAUGAGUGUGAAAUCCUCAAGGGAUAAAGUUUUUAAAAAUCUACGGUAAGGGUAGCACUAACAGUGAAGCUAUGCAUGAACCUGGAAGAUGGGAUGGGGGGACUUUGGGAAGCUUUGAAGAAAGUAGAUUUAAAGUAGCUGGUAUUUUAAUAAAAAAAUAAUAGCUCACUUGAAAUAAGUGUUGUUAGUAUUUUUAAAGCCAUCUAAAUUAUUGCUAAUUUGUCCCUUACAAAGCUCCCCAUCAUCCUAUCUCAGGUACUCCUUUCCUCAGAUUCUCCUCCUUGACCAAUCUCGCUGUAACAGGUGCAUUGUUCUGUCUUCAGCAUUGUCCUUUUAAGAAGGGCACCAGCCGGGCAGUCCAGCCGGCAAUCAUGAACACGGAAAGGCUCUGAGAUCUGGGUUUGCAUUUCCAGUCUAGCACCUAACAGAUGAGUGGUUUGAGGCAGGUAAUUUAACCUCUCUGUGACUGUUUUCCCAUUUGUAAAAUGAGGAUAAUAAUACUUUGCUAAUAGGGAUUUGGGAGGACUAAAUUAUAUUGUACAUAAAACGUUUGGCACAAUCUAACUAGCAAUGGCCCCAAGCUAGAUUAUAAUAAACAUCUUCCUGUCUCAUCCACACACUUAAGUUUUUAUAAGUCAUAUAUGAUAUUAUAUGAUAUUAUGAUAUAUAUUAAUGGGUAUAUAUUUUUCAAAGUUUUUGUUUUGUUUUGAGACAGGGUCAUGCUAUGUAACCCAGGCUAGAUUUGAAUUCUAUUGUUGUUUUUGAUUUGGUUUUGGUUUGGUUUUUUUGAGACAGUUUUUCUCUAACAGUGCUGGCUUUGUAGACCAUGCUAGCCUCAAAUUCACAGAGACCCUCCUGCCUCUGCCUCCAGAGUGCUGGGAUUAAAGGCACCACCACUGGCGGGUUAGACCCAUUUUUAUCAAUAAUGCAGCCGAAGAGCAAAGAGUUUUAGUUAAACUUGUCCAAGAUUAUUCGCAAAUAGCAAAUGCCGCAGGAAAAAUACGACCAUUUGUAAAAUGUUGGUGAUUGCAGUAGUACUUUAAUGAGAAUCAGACGAAUAUAGGGGAAAUGCUUUGACAACAAAACCUAGCGCAUGGAUGCUAAAUACACAUAAUUGCUAUGGUGAUUCAGAAGUAACAGUGAAUAUCGAGUACCUGGAUGGUAAAUAAACAUAAUUGCUGUGGUGACUCAGACGCAACAGCAAAUAAAUUCUAUGCAUGACCUCCAAGGAAUACUUUGGAAAGGCGAUGUUGAAGCUUAGCCCCGGAACGGUGGGUAGGAUCUGAAAACACAGUAGGAGCGGGAAUUUUCAGAGUGGGGAGGAGGAGGGACAUCAAGUGGGAGACGCCGGGAGUAAGAGGUCACCAAGGGGAGAAAUAAGAGUAGUUCUGGUUGGGGGAAAUGUUUCCGUUCCUCGAGCCAGUCAGCAUGGUAUGUGCUUCCUCUGUGUAUCGCUCAUCACCGCAGAGUGUGCUGUCCUCACCUUGCAAUUAACCACUGGCCAGUAUUUCGGGACUGCCUCCAAGAUCCUCUUCCGCCCUGUAAUAGGCAUCCUCUCCACAUGCCACCGAGGCCGCAGACAAAGACUGCAGUCUUUCCCCAUGUGUCCUGAUAAAUUUUAAUGGCCCUAGCGUGCACUCGGAGGCCCUUCUCUAAUUUACCAUCCCCAACGUGUCUCUAAGCGCGCCGCACAUAAGCCUCUGCAGCUGAUGUAAACAUUUACGAGAAGAAUGUGCUGGAACUCCGUGCUAGGUCUCACACAGGGACGCUUCCCCACCCUGAGUGACAGCUUACAGCGUUUACCUCGAGGCUCAGGCACCCUCUCCCCGGGCGCCUGCACCUGCCUAAGCGGGACAUCUGCGCGCGGUCCCGGGUCGCCAUCUUGGCCGCGGAGGCCGGAAGCGGCGAGCACGGACUGCGGCUGCGCGGCCGUGGGCGAGCGUGGAGCUCGCCGUGACCUCUGAGCGCUCCCGCCGCCGUACCUCCCUGGCCUGUUCGCGCAGUCUCUGGGGUGGCUCGCCGGGCACCGCCUGCCCCAAGGCAUGUGGCAGAAGCCUGGGAGUGGGACAGCCCUGCCUCCUCACGCCGAGGGCGAGCAGGAUGGCCAAGACGGCGAGCCCAGGCCCUGGCCGCCUCCCAACGCCAACUGAUCGGACGGCUGCCUAUUCGGUGCAGUUUCUGCUGGUGGAGACAGGAGGAAGAAACUCAUCACACGUUUCCCAGACGGUGAAACAAGUUAUCGGAGAUUUAAAGGCUCUGCACCGGAAGAUCGCCUCAAGAGCCGCAGAACAUCGCGGUACGUUUUUGCUUCCCAGCUGAAACAGCUUCACCGCAAAGCAUCCCACAUCUUGACCUACAGAUUAAAACCUGUUGAGGGCUUGUAGGAGGAUCUGGGAAGAGAUGGCCCCAGAUUAGGUCUCUUAGUGAUAAUCAUGGGUCUUACCUGCAUGAAAGGUAAUAGCGCCGGGGAGGCUCAGUUCUGGGAGAUGCUGAGUCGGUUGGGGUGUGCUUCCAUCAAAGAAUUCUCUUUGGGUCCCCGAGAAGGCUUAUUAAAGGAAGGUUUGCUUCAGCAGCUGUACCUUAAGGUGCCUCACACCAAUUCAUCGGAAUACGAAUGCUCUUGGAGUCCCCAAAGCAACAUGGAAAUCACCAAGAUGAAAGCCCUGGUUCGUGGCCGGGCUUCAGUACGAGUCAACAGAGCCAGAGCCAUACCUGUUUAGGGCCAGUACUAGGGCCACCCUUUAGUACCGGUGAGGUCGGGAGGAAGGCCAACGAGGGCCUAAUAGGAGUCAUUUCUGAGAAAAUUGUGAAACUUUAGAUCUUGUACCUUGCUAGGUUUUGUUACUUUUAAGAUAUUAAAUUGCUGUUUCUAAAUGAGGCCAUUCUUUUUUCCUGUAGAAUUUUGUUGUAGAGGUUUGUUCAUUUUGUAAAAUGUGUUAAGAAGCAUUGCAUUUUAUUCUGUGAUCCUGAACGCAUUAUGCAGUGCUGUAAAGCUGGUCCUUGAUGACUUGAAGGGACUCAGCAGAUUGAUCUGGUACCUGGGGAAAAACCUUAUUUGAUACCUUUUUUGUGUGUGUGUGUGUUUUAUUUAAAAGGGACUGGUAUGUAUUUCUAUUUGCUUGACUAUUAUAGUGAUCUAAAAAAAUUAAAAUGCAGUAAAUGAGAAGCGUAUCCUGGUACACUGAAUAAACUUGUUGAACAUUU